rnacentral:rRNA from 1 species
UAAGGAAUAUUGGUCAAUGGACGCAAGUCUGAACCAGCCAUGCCGCGUGAAGGAUGAAGGUCCUCUGGAUUGUAAACUUCUUUUAUCUGGGACGAAAACGGGAUUUUUAUCUCAAUUGACGGUACCAGAGGAAUAAGCACCGGCUAACUCCGUGCCAGCAGCCGCGGUAAUACGGAGGGUGCGAGCGUUAUCCGGAUUUACUGGGUUUAAAGGGUGCGUAGGUGGGCUUAUAAGUCAGUGGUGAAAUCUCCGAGCUUAACUUGGAAACUGCCGUUGAUACUAUAGGUCUUGAAUUAUCUGGAGGUAAGCGGAAUAUGUCAUGUCGCGGUGAAAUGCUUAGAUAUGACAUAGAACACCAAUUGCGAAGGCAGCUUACUACAUAUAAAUUGACGCUGAGGCACGAAAGCGUGGGGAUCAAACA